CCCUCAAAACAUCAAAUGGUUAUCAUUUAUACCUCACGUAAUAAAAAAAUGCAAAAAUCUCUCAAGAAAAAAUAAAAGUUUACAUAAAUACUUCAAAAUCUAAAUAAGCUGAUUUAAUAAUAAAAUAGGACAAUUGUGCCCUCCUUCUUCCCAACACAAAGAAAAACAAAUUAAGUACGGCAACAUUACAGUACGGCGAAAAUUGAGCUCUCCGGCGAGUGGCGAUGAACUGGAAGACUAUUUCCGGGCUAUAAAUGUGUUGGAGGACGGAGAAUACAACAACGAUGGAGCCUCAAAGAAUGUUUGGCUUCUCUAAAAGACGAGAGAUGACCCAACGGCCGGCCACCGAAAGUGGAGUAGAGCAAAAAUAUGGGCUCGUGUUCUUUGGUCUCCAAUCGCCUUGUUACUGUUGUUUUGCAUCGCAGCAAGAUCUUCUAUCGAUGGAUCUCCGAUCAUGGCGGCGGCGGCCGUGGCGGUGAAUAUUUUUGGAGAAAAGUUUAUCGGCGAUGGCGAUGUAACAUUGACAUUCUGCUACUGAAAUUUAAUUGCAAUUCUGCUACUGAAAUCUGAUUGCAAUUGUGUUGUUAAUGGAGACUUACAAACUUAAAUAAUCUUACAAAUGAUAGUCAAAUAUGGCAAUUGUUUCAGUAAUAAAACUUUGAAAUGUGAAACUUAAUCAAUAGAUAAGAGUAGCAAUUACAUUUUACCUAAUAAAAGAUUAACAUCUGAUGUCAAGUAAAUAUUGUUAAUUUUAAUGAUCUA